CGGAGGGCAGCAGGCGCGCAAAUUGCCCAAUGUCAAAAAAAAACGAUGAGGCAGCGAAAAGAAAUAGAACCGGCAGUGCCACUGGCAUUGCCGUUUUCAAUGGGGGAUAUUUAAACCCAUCCAAAAUCGAGUAUCAAUUGGAGGACAAGUCUGGUGCCAGCACCCGCGGUAAUUCCAGCUCCAAAAGCGUAUAUUA
rnacentral:rRNA from 1 species